rnacentral:rRNA from 1 species
CCUGGGAACUGCGUUNUGAACUGGGUGACUAGAGUGUGUCAGAGGGAGGUAGAAUUCCACGUGUAGCAGUGAAAUGCGUAGAGAUGUGGAGGAAUACCGAUGGCGAAGGCAGCNUCCUGGGAUAACACUGACGUUCAUGCCCGAAAGCGUGGGUAGCAAACAGGAUUAGAUACCCUGGUAGUCCACGCCCUAAACGAUGUCGAUUAGCUGUUGGGCAGCAUGACUGCUUAGUAGCGAAGCUAACGCGUGAAAUCGACCGCCUGGGGAGUACGGUCGCAAGAUUAAAACUCAAAGGAAUUGACGGGGACCCGCACAAGCGGUGGAUGAUGUGGAUUAAUUCGAUGCAACGCGAAGAACCUUACCUGGUCUUGACAUGUACGGAACCCUCCAGAGACGGAGGAGUGCCUUCGGGAGCCGUAACACAGGUGCUGCAUGGCUGUCGUCAGCUCGUGUCGUGAGAUGUUGGGUUAAGUCCCGCAACGAGCGCAACCCUUGUCAUUAGUUGCCAUCAUUAAGUUGGGCACUCUAAUGAGACUGCCGGUGACAAGCCGGAGGAAGGUGGGGAUGACGUCAAGUCCUCAUGGCCCUUAUGACCAGGGCUUCACACGUCAUACAAUGGUCGGUACAGAGGGUAGCCAAGCCGCGAGGCGGAGCCAAUCUCACAAAACCGAUCGUAGUCCGGAUUGCACUCUGCAACUCGAGUGCAUGAAGUCGGAAUCGCUAGUAAUCGCAGGUCAGCAUACUGCGGUGAAUACGUUCCCGGGUCUUGUACA